AACCCAAAUCAUCUUCAGUGAUAAGUAAUGCAACUAAGUUCAAGCACUUCUCAAAGUGUUCUCCUAAGGUGCUUGUCUGAGCUCAAGCUAUGCUGCAUUUACAAGACCAUUUAGGCCUGAAGCUCACUUGAGACUUCAUCCACAAGGUGCAAGCUGUUGUUGCAUCUCAAACUGAUUCCCAGGGAACAACCAAACACUAUAUAAAGCUACCAAAGUCAGAGCUAAUGGAACUGGCCUGGGAUUAAACUUGUCAUAGAGAGCAAACCUGAAGGAAAUUUCGUAUGUGAUUCCAUUGACAGGACUCUGGCAGUCGUUGAAGACUCCCAAGGAAAGAUGGAGUCUUGGAGCUGUGGAAUUGGAGGAUGGAUGAGCCAGGGUGGAGGCUGGGGCUGCUCUGGUGUUGGUGGCACAGGGAGGAGGAAGGAAGAGUUUGCCGAGGAUAAAUUCAACACACUGGAACAGAGUGUUCCCCUUAAAUGUGUUCUACAGCCAGAAUAGCAGCAGCAAUCCUGCCAAGUAAGGGGCCUGCUGCAGGAACAGUUUGGCAAGGGAAAAUAUAUAGCCAAAUUUAAGCUAACCAGCCUGAUAGUGGGUGGCUGGAUUAUGUAAAUUUACUGAUACUCAGAAUUCAUUAUCUCUUGCGAAGUGUCUCUGAAUGAAAUGAAAUGGUAGAGCAGAUAACCCCUUUUUUAUUUGGAUUCCUUCCCUCUCUCCCCUCCCAAAAACUUGUAUUUCUACACCUCCAUUCAAAGUCUUGAAACUUGAGCAGUAAGGCUGUGGGGCUGAGCUUGUAAUGAAAUCCUCAUCAGGAUCCUGAGGGCAGGGCUAGAAAAUGAGGUAUUGCAGUGUCAGAAAUUCUUGGAUUUGUUGAAACUGAGUCCUGGAAGGGAUGAGCCAGAAAGAAUCCUAAGAAAAGGAGAAAAAAUACGAUAUCCUUUCACUUCAGCAUGCUCUCUGUAAGCAUAGUCAUUUCUGGGAGAAGCAUCAAGAUUUACAGUUAUUCUCAACACUGCCACGUGGGAUUUGUGAGCUCCCAUGAAUGGAAGAAUCAUCAUCAUGUAGAAAUCUGUGUGGUUUUGCCUUGGAUGGAGUGAUGGUAGUUCAACAGUUGUGCUUGACUGCUGCUACUGUUUUGCUGUGUACAAAUAAGAAUUGUCUUCUAAUUGGCUGGCUUGCAAACUGAGGAAAUCUGGCUAAUUUAUUUUCAUUGGGAGUAGAGUUGCCCUCACAAGGUUGGAUUUUAAUGUUAAUGAAGGUGUGUUUAAGAAUGGAUCUUGUCCCUCUUGCAGCUUUAUUCUAAGAACAAGGGAGGACCGAGUGUGGGUUAUAGAUGCCACAGAGAUGUCGGAGCUGAAAGAAAAAGGCUGUUGCUUGUAACACUCUCUUGUUUACUCAGCCACUAUGUUCUGGAGCCCAUGAGAGGUGAUAAACAAAGGGAGCCUGUGGAGAUGCUUUGUAUUCUGAUGCUUUUCAAAGUACCUUCUUGCUCUGAAGCAGACUGUUCCAGGAACUGUCUUAGCAAUGUGUGUAGUCUAGAUUGGAGCCAAAAGCUUGAGUCUUCAUGAAUCAAGCUCAUUAAUGGUAUCCAGCAU